UGGAUAUCUGCCUUUUGGUUCGGAAUAACCCCGGGAAACUGGGGCUAAUACCGGAUAGUUCCUUCGGGAUAAAGAUUUAUCGCCAAAAGAUGAGUCCGCGUACGAUUAGCUAGUUGGUGAGGUAAUGGCUCACCAAGGCGACGAUCGUUAGCUGGUCUGAGAGGACGAUCAGCCACACUGGGACUGAGACACGGCCCAGACUCCUACGGGAGGCAG
rnacentral:rRNA from 1 species